AUUAAUUCGAUGCAACGCGAAGAACCUUACCUGGGUUUGACAUGCACCAGACGGUUGUAGAGAUACGUACCUCCCUUUGUGGUUGGUGUGCAGGUGGUGCAUGGUUGUCGUCAGCUCGUGUCGUGAGAUGUUGGGUUAAGUCCCGCAACGAGCGCAACCCUUGUCUUAUGUUGCCAGCACUUUGGGUGGGGACUCAUGAGAGACUGCCGGGGUUAACUCGGAGGAAGGUGGGGAUGACGUCAAAUCAUCAUGCCCUUUAUGCCCAGGGCUUCACACAUGCUACAAUGGUUAGUACAACGCGCUGCGAGCCUGUGAGGGUGAGCGAAUCGCUGAAAGCUAAUCUCAGUUCGGAUUGGGGUCUGCAACUCGACCCCAUGAAGUCGGAGUCGCUAGUAAUCGCAGAUCAGCAAUGCUG
rnacentral:rRNA from 1 species